UACGAAGGGGGCUAGCGUUGUUCGGAAUUACUGGGCGUAAAGCGUGCGCAGGCGGCUUGCCAAGUCAGAUGUGAAAGCCCCGGGCUCAACCCGGGAAUGGCGUUUGAAACUGGCAGGCUAGAGUUUGGCAGAGGGGGGUGGAAUUCCACGUGUAGCAGUGAAAUGCGUAGAGAUGUGGAGGAACACCGAUGGCGAAGGCAGCCCCCUGGGCCAAAACUGACGCUCAGGCACGAAAGCGUGGGGAGCAAACAGG
rnacentral:rRNA from 1 species